rnacentral:rRNA from 1 species
AUACCCUAUUAUUUUUAUGGUAAAUUUAAUAAGCUAAAGUAUUAGUAGAUAAAGUCUUGAAACUUAAAGAAUUUGGCGGUAUUAUAGUCUUCUUAGAGGAAUUUGUUAUGUAAUCGAUAAUCCACGUUGAACCUUACUUAUAUAAAUUCUUGUAUAUCGCUGUUUAAGAAUAUAUUAUAAGAUUAUUUUCUGUAUAUAAUAUUAAAUAAUAUUUCAAGUCAAGGUGCAGUAUUUAUAAGUUAAAUAAUGGAUUACAAUAAAUUAUAUUUAUUAUGAAUUAUUAUUGAAAAUUGAUUUGAAGGUGGAUUUAAUAGUAAUUUUAUUUAGAUUAUUAAAAUGAUUAUUAGCUCUAUAAUAUGUACACAUCGCCC